rnacentral:rRNA from 1 species
UAAUACGGGGGGUGCAAGCGUUGUUCGGAAUCAUUGGGCGUAAAGAGCGUGUAGGCGGCUUGGUAAGUCAGAUGUGAAAGCCCUGGGCUCAACCCGGGAAGUGCAUUUGAAACUGCCAGGCUCGAGUAGGGGAGAGGGAAGUGGAAUUCCUGGUGUAGAGGUGAAAUUCGUAGAUAUCAGGAGGAACACCGGUGGCGAAGGCGACUUCCUGGCCCUAUACUGACGCUGAGACGCGAGAGCGUGGGUAGCAAACAGG